AUUGAACGCUGGCGGCAUGCCUUACACAUGCAAGUCGAACGGUAACGGGCCUCCGGGUGCCGACGAGUGGCGAACGGGUGAGUAAUGUAUCGGAACGUACCUUUCAGUGGGGGAUAACGUAGCGAAAGUUACGCUAAUACCGCAUAUUCUGUGAGCAGGAAAGCAGGGGAUCGCAAGACCUUGCGCUGAUUGAGCGGCCGAUAUCAGAUUAGCUAGUUGGUGAGGUAAAGGCUCACCAAGGCGACGAUCUGUAGCGGGUCUGAGAGGAUGAUCCGCCACACUGGAACUGAGAAACGGUCCAGACUCCUACGGGAGGCAGCAGUGGGGAAUUUUGGACAAUGGGGGCAACCCUGAUCCAGCCAGGCCGCGUGAGUGAAGAAGGCCUUCGGGUUGUAAAGCUCUUUCGGCCGGGAAGAAAUCGUAUCAGCUAAUACCUGGUGCGGAUGACGGUACCGGCAUAAGAAGCACCGGCUAACUACGUGCCAGCAGCCGCCGUAAUAC
rnacentral:rRNA from 1 species